UACGAAGGGUGCAAGCGUUACUCGGAAUUACUGGGCGUAAAGCGUGCGUAGGUGGUUUCUUAAGUCUGCUGUGAAAGCCCCGGGCUCAACCUGGGAAUGGCAGUGGAUACUGGGAAGCUAGAGUGCGGUAGAGGGUAGUGGAAUUCCCGGUGUAGCGGUGAAAUGCGUAGAGAUCGGGAGGAACACCAGUGGCGAAGGCGGCUACCUGGACCAGCACUGACACUCAGGCACGAAAGCGUGGGGAGCAAACAGG
rnacentral:rRNA from 1 species